UUCGCCAAACAACUACGAGUAGUAACUUAAAACUUAAAAGACUUGACGGUACUUCACUACAACCUAGAGGAGCCUGUCCAUAACCGACAACCCACGAUUAACCCAACCCCCUCUUGCCAACAGUCUAUAUACCACCGUCGUAAGCCUACCUCGUAAGAGCAAUAAAGUAAGCCAAAUAGCCCUUUACUAAGACGACAGGUCGAGGUGUAACUUAUGAGCGGGACCCAGAUGGGCUACACUCUCUAUUAAGAGAACACAAAUGACACUACGAAUGUAGUAUCUGAAGGUGGAUUUAGCAGUAAGCCAGGAAUAAAACACCUGACUGAACACUGCAAUGAAGUGCGUACACACCGCCCGUCACCCCUGUCUAC
rnacentral:rRNA from 1 species